GGCAACUCUUCUGGUUUAAAAAAGAAGUCCGGUUCCAUUAGAACUUAUGUGUGCGGUGUGUAACUUGACAAAGCUGACUCUGGCCUCAACGCUUCCUCGUUGAAAGCGCUACACAGGGGCUCCAUCUAGAGGCAGCGGGGUUGACCUGCGACCAUGCAUCUGGAGUUGGGACUGAGACUGCGGUGCGUCUCAGGAGCCUCUCAAAACCACAUUUCCAUAAACACAAGCUCCCACCACAGACUGCUGUAUUUGGUUUUGUUGAUGUGAUUCACACCAUGCAGAAAAGUCAGAAAAGGUUGUCUGAUUGAGAGAAAUAAAUAUUUUUCUUGAUUGUU